UACAGAGGGUGCAAGCGUUAAUCGGAAUUACUGGGCGUAAAGCGUGCGUAGACGGUUAUGUAAGUCAGAUGUGAAAGCCCCGGGCUCAACCUGGGAAAUUGCAUUUGAGACUGCAUAGCUAGGGUGCGGAAGAGGGAAGCGGAAUUUCCGGUGUAGCGGUGAAAUGCGUAGAUAUCGGAAGGAACACCAGUGGCGAAAGCGGCUUCCUGGUCCAGCACCGACGUCAGGCACGAAAGCGUGGGGAGCAAACAGG
rnacentral:rRNA from 1 species